rnacentral:siRNA from 1 species
UAUUAAUUGGGAAGCAUUGUGUG